AAGUCCUCUUAUAUACAAUUAGCCCCUCAAAAUACUAUUACAACCAGCAGUUUAGCUUUCAGAAUCUGAUACUUUUCACCGGAGCCCUUCUGAAUGUCCGUUUGCGCUCAAAUUUGACAGUCAGGCUCGGUUUUACUUAAUAAGUACAAAAAAAUUUCAAUCUUUCAGUUUCGACCAUUUUUGGUCAUCGAAAGCUCUACCGAACUGAAAUCUCUAGCAGAUAGCAGUCGGAUUUUAUUUUCCACCUUCCGGGUGUCAGAAUGACAUGAAACUUUAAAUCUAGCCUCAUAAAAAUAAUUCUGACAUAUUCUCCAAUUUUCAUAAUUUUCUAACACUGUGUAUUUUCUGCUAAAAUAACAACUGUUUCUUAAAGAAAUUCUAAAUUUUCUAUUUCCGUUCCGAUUUCAGCACAAGUCAUUCCCGACUUAUAUUUUACUUCUUUAAGUCCAAUAAAAAAGUAUCUUACACUAUUUUUAUUUAUAUUUACUUUUAUAUUAAAAUUCGGUACAUUACACCAGGUAAAGAAACGAGAGAAAACACGAGCUGAGAGUCAACUUUUUGUCGCGGGCCAGUGCUAUGGCGAUAGGGAUGAGGUUCCAAUUGAUCUUUUGUGAUCGAGUGCAAAAGAGAUUAUGACAGAGCAAGUAGAGGAGGAAAGUGCUAUACUUCUUCCUAAUUAUUGGAGUAGGGGUGUAGUACACUGAACUUUAGCAAAAUUGCGAAGUU
rnacentral:lncRNA from 1 species